rnacentral:rRNA from 1 species
CAUGGUUUUUUGAUAAUAUUUUAAGAUUAGUUCUGCUCAAUGAUUAUAAGAAAUUAAAUAGCCGCAGUAUUUUGACUGUGCUAAGGUAGCAUAAUCAAUUGUUUUUUAAAUGAAAACUAGAAUAAAGGAAUAAAUGAAAUUAAAGCUGUUUCAAGUUUAAAAUUAUAAUUUAUAUUUUGAGUUAAAAUUCUUAAAUGAGUUUAUGGGACGAGAAGACCCUAUUGAAUUUGAUAAAAAUUUUUUAAAGAUUAAUUUUAGUAUGAUUUAGUUAAUUUAAAAAUUUUAUUUUAUUGGGAGGAUAGUUAAAUUUGAAAAACUUUAAUGAAAAUUAUAAUAACAUUAAUUUAUGAUUUAAUAGAAUAAUUUUAUUAAUGUAAUUAAAAUUAUUAUGAGAAUUAAUUACCUUAGGGAUAACAGCGUAAUAUUUUUAUAAAGUUCUUAUUGAUAAAAAUGUUUGCGACCUCGAUGUUGAAUUAAAAUAAAAAUUAAAUGAAAAAGUUUAAUAUUUUAGUCUGUUCGACUAUUAAAAUUUUACGUGAUCUGAGUUCA